UUAAGUGAAUAAGGGCGCACGGUGGAUGCCUUGGCACUAGGAGCCGAUGAAGGACGGGACUAACACCGAUAUGCUUUGGGGAGCUGUACGUAAGCUAUGAUCCAGAGAUUUCCGAAUGGGGGAACCCAACAUCUUUAAUAGGAUGUUACGAUUGUGUGAAUACAUAGCACAUUCGAGGUAGACGCAGAGAACUGAAACAUCUAAGUACCUGCAGGAAGAGAAAGAAAAUUCGAUUCCCUGAGUAGCGGCGAGCGAAACGGGAAAAGCCCAAACCAGCAAGCUUGCUUGUUGGGGUUGUAGGACUCCAAUAUGGUAGUUCUUUCAGAUAGUCGAAUGACUUGGAAAAGUCAGUCAAAGAGGGUAAAAACCCCGUAGACGAAAUGUGGAAGACACCUAGGAGGAUCCUGAGUACGGCGGAACACGAGAAAUUCCGUCGGAAUCCGGGAGGACCAUCUCCCAAGGCUAAAUACUCCCUAGUGACCGAUAGUGAACCAGUACCGUGAGGGAAAGGUGAAAAGCACCCCGGAAGGGGAGUGAAAUAGAACCUGAAACCGUGUGCCUACAACAAGUCAAAGCCCGUUAAUGGGUGAUGGCGUGCCUUUUGUAGAAUGAACCGGCGAGUUACGAUUGCAUGCGAGGUUAAGUUGAAGAGACGGAGCCGCAGCGAAAGCGAGUCUGAAUAGGGCGUUUGAGUAUGUAGUCGUAGACCCGAAACCAUGUGAUCUACCCAUGUCCAGGUUGAAGGUGCGGUAAAACGCACUGGAGGACCGAACCCACGUACGUUGAAAAGUGCGGGGAUGAGGUGUGGGUAGCGGAGAAAUUCCAAACGAACUUGGAGAUAGCUGGUUCUCUCCGAAAUAGCUUUAGGGCUAGCCUCGGAAUUGAGAAUGAUGGAGGUAGAGCACUGUUUGGACUAGGGGCCCAUCUCGGGUUACCGAAUUCAGAUAAACUCCGAAUGCCAUUCAUUCAUAUCCGGGAGUCAGACUGUGAGUGAUAAGAUCCAUAGUCGAAAGGGAAACAGCCCAGACCACCAGCUAAGGUCCCAAAAUAUAUGUUAAGUGGAAAAGGAUGUGGGGUUGCACAGACAACUAGGAUGUUGGCUUAGAAGCAGCCACCAUUUAAAGAGUGCGUAAUAGCUCACUAGUCGAGUGACCCUGCGCCGAAAAUGUACCGGGGCUAAACAUAUUACCGAAGCUGUGGAGUACACCUUUAGGUGUAUUGGUAGGAGAGCGUUCUAAGGGCGUCGAAGGCAGAUCGUGAGGACUGCUGGAGCGCUUAGAAGUGAGAAUGCCGGUAUGAGUAGCGAAAGACAGGUGAGAAUCCUGUCCACCGAAUGACUAAGGUUUCCUGGGGAAGGCUCGUCCGCCCAGGGUUAGUCGGGACCUAAGCCGAGGCCGACAGGCGUAGGCGAUGGAUAACAGGUUGAUAUUCCUGUACCCGUUGUUUUUGUUUGAGCAAUGGAGGGACGCAGGAGGCUAAGGAAUGCAGACGAUCGGAAAUGUCUGUCCAAGCAGUAAGUCUGAAGAGGAGUCAAAUGCUUCUUUUCUUAAGGACAAGCUGUGAUGGGGAGGGAAAUAAUAGUACCGAAGUUCCUGAUGUCACACUGCCGAGAAAAGCUUCUAGUGAGAAAACAGCGGCCCGUACCGCAAACCGACACAGGUAGUCGAGGAGAGAAUCCUAAGGUGAGCGAGAGAACUCUCGUUAAGGAACUCGGCAAAAUGACCCCGUAACUUCGGGAGAAGGGGUGCUGAUCAUACGAUCAGCCGCAGUGAAUAGGCCCAAGCGACUGUUUAUCAAAAACACAGGUCUCUGCAAAAUCGUAAGAUGAAGUAUAGGGGCUGACGCCUGCCCGGUGCUGGAAGGUUAAGAGGAGUGCUUAGCGCAAGCGAAGGUACGAAUUGAAGCCCCAGUAAACGGCGGCCGUAACUAUAACGGUCCUAAGGUAGCGAAAUUCCUUGUCGGGUAAGUUCCGACCCGCACGAAAGGCGUAACGAUUUGGGCACUGUCUCAACGAGAGACUCGGUGAAAUUUUAGUACCUGUGAAGAUGCAGGUUACCCGCGACAGGACGGAAAGACCCCAUGGAGCUUUACUGUAGUUUGAUAUUGAGUGUCUGUACCGCAUGUACAGGAUAGGUAGGAGCCGUAGAAA
rnacentral:rRNA from 1 species